rnacentral:rRNA from 1 species
CAGUAGCCGCGGUAAUACGUAGGUGGCAAGCGUUGUCCGGAUUUAUUGGGCGUAAAGCGAGCGCAGGCGGUUUCUUAAGUCUGAUGUGAAAGCCCCCGGCUCAACCGGGGAGGGUCAUUGGAAACUGGGAGACUUGAGUGCAGAAGAGGAGAGUGGAAUUCCAUGUGUAGCGGUGAAAUGCGUAGAUAUAUGGAGGAACACCAGUGGCGAAGGCGGCUCUCUGGUCUGUAACUGACGCUGAGGCUCGAAAGCGUGGGGAGCGAACAGGAUUAGAUACCCCAGUAGUCCCUGUCUCUUAUAU